GCGCCCGUAGCUCAAUUGGACAGAGCGUCUGCCUCCGGAGCAGAAGGUCGCGCGUUCGAGUCGCGCCGGGCGCG
rnacentral:tRNA from 1 species